AACAAACGCUGGCGGCGUGCCUAAUACAUGCAAGUCGAACGGGGAAAGCUUUCGGGUGAGUACUAGUGGCGCACGGGUGAGGAACGCGUGGCUAAUCUGCCUUAGAGUGGGGGAUAACUAGUCGAAAGAUUAGCUAAUACCGCAUAAGACCACGAGAGCUGCGGCUUUUGAGGUCAAAGGUUUUUCGCUCUAAGAUGAGUCCGCGUAAGAUUAGCUAGUUGGUGAGGUAACGGCUCACCAAGGCGACGAUCUUUAACUGGUCUGAGAGGAUGAUCAGUCACACUGGAACUGAGACACGGUCCAGACUCCUACGGGAGGCAGCAGUAGGGAAUAUUGCACAAUGGAGGAAACUCUGAUGCAGCGACGCCGCGUGAGUGAUGAAGGCCUUCGGGUCGUAAAGCUCUGUCGCAGGGGAAUAACACAAUGAAGGUACCCUGUAAGAAAGGAUCGGCUAACUUCGUG
rnacentral:rRNA from 1 species